AUGGCAAAGUUUUAGUGGAGUGGCUCCCUUGACCGCAGAUCGUUGCAUUGGCUAUCAUGGGACAAACUCGCAUCUUCAAAGGCCCGAGGAGGCAUGGGUUUUCGUGAUCUUGAGUUAUUUAACCUGGCACUGCUAGGUAAGCACGGAUGGAGGUUCAUUACUAAUCCCAACUCUCUGUGUGCAAGGGUCAUGAAGGGGCGCUAUUUUCCUGAUUGUGAGUUCAUGGAUGCUUCUAUUCCACAGUCUGCUUCAGCGAUAUGGCGAGCAAUUGUGGCAGGCAAGGAGGCGCUCACAGCAGGCCUGAUAAAAAGGGUGGGCGAUGGCACUACCAUCUCUAUUUGGGAUGAUCGCUGGAUUCCGGGUCUCUCUACUUUGUCCCCCACGGUUGUACCAGGGGGUGCUACACUUGCUACCGUCGAUCAACUCAUUGACACCGGAAAUUGGACAUGGCGGACAGAGUUGAUUAGAAGUUUUUUUAUCCCACCAGAAGCUGAAGCCAUAUUGAAUAUUCCUUUGCGCUCCGGUGGUGGUGAUGAUUUUCUUGCUUGGGCCCAUGAACGAAGUGGUAUCUACUCUGUCAAAAGUGUGUACCGUGCUCUGCUGACUCGUAAAGAGCUUGCUGCUCUAGAGGAAGGGACGGUUACAAAUACCUCACAGACCGAAGAACAGAUGUGGAAGAAACUAUGA
rnacentral:rRNA from 1 species